rnacentral:tRNA from 1 species
GCCGGAGUGAUGAAACUGGCAAACAUGCACGACUCAAACUCGUGUGGGGAAACCCUUGUGGGUUCGACUCCCACCUCCGGCA